AUUGAACGCUAGCGGGAUGCUUUACACAUGCAAGUCGAACGGUUGCCGGCGGGGUGAGAAAUAAAUCGGACCGUCCCCAGUAGCGGGGGAAACUUACCCGAAAGAGGGGCAAAUCCCGCAUAUUAUUGGAGGGGCGGAUAGCGGAUUAGCUGGUUGGUGGGGUAAAGGCUCACAAAGGCAACGACCCGUAGCUGGUUUGAGAGGACGACCAGCCACACUGGGACGGAGACACGGCCCAGACUCCUACGGGAGGCAGCAGUGGGGAAUUUUGGACAAUGGGGGAAACCCUGAUCCAGCCAUCCCGCGUGUAUGAGAAGGCCUUCGGGUUGUAAAGUACUUUUGGCAGAGAAGCGGUAUCUGCAGAAUAAGCACCGGCUAACUACGUGCCAGCAGCCGCGGUAAUUC
rnacentral:rRNA from 1 species